GUUAUUCCCUUUGUUGUUUUUUCUCGAGUAAAUUUCAUAAAACUACAUAUACUUUGCACGAUCUAUCACAAAACCACAGAUUUAACACAAAACCACAGAUUUAAGAACUUAUUUCACAAAACUACAAAAC
rnacentral:miRNA from 1 species